GACUGUGAGAUCAUGACCUGAGCCAAAGUCGGACGCUCAACCGACUGAGCCACCCAGGCGCCCCUUGAUUUUCUUAAUCUUUAUAGUCAUUUCUAUGAAGUGGAUAACUUUUGCUAAAUAAAAUCAGAGGAGAAGUGGACUCAAAUAGCCACAACAAAUAUGUGUAUGUACAAUGAAAUAUAAAAAGAAUCAAAAGACUUUUAGCUAUAGCCGUUGAGCUCAACUUCAGCAUCUAAUCUUUUCUAAGGAAGUUGUGGUUCUCUCUGCUCCAGAUCACCCUCUAGUGAUAACACACAGAGACCGAAAUUAAGGCAGUAAAAAGGAAGUGAGAAAAAAAAGGAGGAAGGAAGAGUAGAAUCUACAAUCAACGAACUAGACCACAAAGGGGAAGGACAUUCUUCUUUAAAAGUAAUCUUGAAGGAGGAGACGGACAGGAGCUGAAGACUUUGCACACCUUCAUUUAAAUAUUGAGCACCGGGAAGGAGUUGUUUCCCAGGUGUGGGGAAUCGGCAGAAUGUCUCAUCUGUCAUGCUAAAAACAAUUACUGUCUCCCCUCCCAGCAAGAAUCCGUUCUUCCUAGAUACACCGGGUUUCGGAUGUCAGGCUGAACGCUCCAUUAUCUCUACAGAUCACGCUGACUCCUCACAAGGUGAGCGGUUCAACUUCCCCUCCAAAUGGCCUCGGGCGGCUCUGGAAUUGUGAACCUGUCUGGGGGAGACCCAUCUCUCUGUCACACGGAGCAGCCCAAGACUUUGGGGCCUCGCGGGGUGCUUCGAGCCUCUGCUGCCAGCGUGCUCUUGCUUCGUGUGCUCUUGGUUAACCGGUUAACGGGACAUUUUAUCCCAAAGCAUUCGUUUUUCGGGGCCAGACGUUUCAGCCAGGUUCCCUCCCUCUCCCACUUGUCUCGUGGGUUCUGUUUCCAUGCGGAGGGAGGAGGGAAGUGGCCCGGGAGCCCAGCAACCACCCCACAGACCUCUUUCCGAGACUGCUGCGGUUGUCUCUGCAACUGACGGGACAUUCUAGCGGUUGGAAUUGCCUUGCAGAAGCCCUGCCACUAACAGAAGUGCCGGUCUCCUUUCUGCAGUUCAGAGUUCAGGACACACAAAAGGGGAAAGAAAACAAUAACAAUGGAAACCAUCUGAGCCCCAACAGCUGCCCUGCCUCCCCUUCCACCACGAGGACAACAACAACAAAAACAAUAAGCACAACCACCCAUCUCUCCCCCACCCUGUGCCUAAUGUGGUUAACGCGCCCGGAAACUCUGCGUCGCUGAGCUGCCCGAUACGAUAGGAAAUAUGUGCAGAGGAAAUGCCUUCCCUGACCGCUGAAUGAAGUCUGAGACUUCAAGGGGCUGAUUGACAUUUGAGGAAAACACUUAAGUUUUUGCAUACGUGCGAUCUUCCUAGAUGAAGAAAAUUCCACAGCUGUCACCUUUGCUUCAUCAGUCCGGCUGUCUAGGAUGAAUUUAAUGCCAACCCGGGGACUGUGCGGGCCGGUCCACUCGUGUUGUGAGAAAACAGGUUACAUCUUCAAACGCUUUCCUGCUCCCCGAUACCACAUGGCGCAGUCCCCUCCUCGCAAAGCACACACUGUGGCCAAUUUUUCUUUCCGUGCUUACAGAGAUAAAUGCGGGGUGAGGCGGUGGGACCUACGGAUUGAUCAUGCGCUGUCCUGUGUGACAGGAAAAUGGGUGUUUGAUCUUGUUUUGUGCUAUAAGAAACUCUUCAGAAAUCUCCUGGAAAAAAAAAAAAAUCUCAUAAACCUAGGUUAGUGGCCACAUAUGGGAUCCAUUAACUCCUCAUUUCUGCUUGUUCUGAGCAAAUUUUUGUCUGGUGACAACACAUGAACUUUGGGGUGUUUUUGUUUUGCUUCACACCACAGAGAACUCUGUUGACUUGCUUCAGUUUUGAGAAAUCUGCAGCACAAAGCCGGCUGUGGUCGGGUGGAACAACUGACGGCAAGUAGAACUUGGAACGUUUGGUUCGUGGGGGCGCAGGGGGACGUGUUCUUUAGAUUUCAGGGGAUUCCAGAGUGGCCGAUGUCCUGGGAAGAAUCUUCCUUUCGUGGUGAAACUGAGUAAGAGAAGCCUCGGUUCUCUCCCUAGCUCUAUUCAUGCUUCACGGUGUAACUUCGGGAGAUUGGUUUGGUCUGUCUUAGUCUCUAAAUGCGUGUUUUCUAAAUCUUGGACAAGGCAGCAACGUUCUUCUUGCAAGACCUGCCCUUAGCCCCCGAUUAAAAGGCGUUAAAUAAUUACAUCACACCAAUAUUUGGAACUAAAGUCACUCCUCCGACAGAAAACAGAUUGGAGGAUGUUAACUCUAAGAAGGAACACGGGAUAAAAAAAUUGAGAAGAAAAUUAGCUUUUACGUUUCUGUUUUAAGUAAUUAAUAAACCAAACACAACAAUCGGUGCUUUUCACCCACACCCAGCAUCAGGGGGCUUCAGACAUUGCCUUUGAAGUGGGCCCCCAGUAGGGAGGACCCCACUGUUCAGGCUACUUUAUAGUGGUAAUAUACGGUCUGGUAAAAACAGAUGCCAAGAAAUUGUGCAGAUUGUAUCUCCGAGCAUCUGAAACCCUAAAACUUCAGGGGGCCAAGGAAGGUCCCAGGCUUUUGAUUUUUUUUUUCUUAAAAAAAAAAAAAAGGCCCAAAGUAUUAAAUUGAAACAGGCACUUCAUUUCUUUCUUUCAUUUCUCCCUUCACCUCAGGAGACCUACGUUAAAUUCCUCUUAGAUCACAGCUAGACGUGGGUUUGAUGGUCUCAAGCCACCUUUUCACUGUACAUUCAUCCCAUAAAUAGAAGAUGAAUAAAGAUGUCAAACUCCAUCCAUAUAAUAUUCUGACACACGUGGCUGUCUCUGUGAAAGAGGAGCUGGGAUGAAGGAGGACUCAGUGGAGUCCACAGAGCCAAGGACUGCAACAUGCCUCGGUGACUUGAAGCGCACAAAUAAGACCGUGUGGAUUGCCAGCCAAUAGCUAUGGAGCUUCAGCUGUCAACCUUAUCCUGAAUGGACAUUUGUGGAAGGACAACGGUUGGGCUGGUAUAGUGUGAGUUCAACGUGGGCUACUUUCCUUAAGCCACCGUCCUUAAAUUUUGUGUUUUAAAUAGUGGUUUUCCAGGCAAGCAAAGUCAGGUCUAUACUUAAAGCAAGGGGUCCCGAGACCAGAUUCAGUUCUUCACGUUCCGAGUAAAAAUACAUGGACCCCGAUUCGGGGAUUAUACUACUAAGAUUUAUUCAUCUUUCUGUGCCCUAGAUAGGGAAAGAACCAAAUCUAACAAGCAAGGAAUACACUGCCAAAUAUUGAUAAUUCCUUCUCUGGAAUACUCACAGCUAUUUUUAGUGUGUUAAUGUAAAAAGCCAGUGAGAUGAAAAGUGAAGUGAUCCGUUUCCAGAAGAAAAACCAGCCGAAUCUUCAUUAAUAAUUCCUUGUAGAAUGCUCCAUGGGCCUUUAUCUGACAGCCUGACAAGCUGAACUAAACAACAGAGACUGUAGGAAUGUAAAAGACAUAAUCUUAACACCAAACCUUCUGAAGAUUUGGCUGUCACUUUACAUUAAAGGCAAGGGGUAAAAACCUCCAUUGAAACAGAAGGAGCUUGCAACCUGAUUAUAGUGCCAGAAUUUAGUGAGAGAAGAAAAGGCAGGCAUCUGAGUUAGCAAAUGGUGGUAUUGAAGAGUAUUGAACUAAGCUUUCUUUCCACGUCUGGCUUGGGAUUUUUGAGAGCCGAAGACGAUGAUGCGGGUAUGAUAAGACGCAACGUAGCUAUUCCUGGGCCUAGUGACAAAUCUUCGUUAUCAAUACAGACUAUGUAACCAGUGUUGGAUGCGGUAUAAAAGCUAACUCAAACACC